AAGACCUCUGGAAUUUCUCCGAGGUGCUGCCGCUCCUUACAUCAGUAGAUCCCACUCCCGCGGUGGAGGCUCUCAGAUGGAACCACUCUUGUGUUUGCGUCACACAAAUCUCCACAGAGUUCAAGAAGAAACAGAUGGGUUCGCAGCUAAGCCAGCUGAAGCAUCGCUCCUUCCGUUUGUAGUCUGAGCCCCUGGAGCUCCGAUGAGCCCAUGAUGCGGAGAACAAUGAGAUCAUUUGAAACUCUAGAAUGUUCAAUCUGAGUUCCCAGAACCCAAGGUUCAGUGGAUCCAGCGAUAUGAUGGUUAAUCUUGAUGGCAUGAUGUGAUUUAUAAUCAACAUGGAAACAAACCUCAGAGCAUGUCUGGAAAGAAAUUUCUAGACCAGAUUAACUGACAUGGAAAGAUUGACCCUAAAUCUUCCACAGACAGACGGGGGUCCUGGGCUAAAUCAAAAGGAGAAAGUGAGCUGAGCUCCAACAUCCUUCUCUCUUCUUCCUGACUGGACACAUGUGGCCAACGGCCUCAGCUCUUAUGGCCGACACUUCCCCAUCAUGGUGGACUGGACCCUGACACUAGGAGCAAAGUAAGCCUUUCUCUCUUUCAGUUCCUUUUGUCACACAUCUCACCACAGUGACCAGAAAAUACUAUGCACUCCUUGUACAGAUUAGGAAGUACAUCCAGAGGUUUCAUCUGUCAACGUUCAUACACGUGGUCACUGCCAAGCAGUCGUGUCGUUAGUCCUCCAAUACGGUCUUCCUUUCUUUUGUGAUUGUUCUUAUGAACCAGAAAAGCAAACAUAUCAACCUCCUCCUAAAUGUCCCGUGGAAGCGGCAAGCCCCAGCAAGUUGAGGAAUUAAGUACAGUGUUAUUUGCAAAAGCAUCCAUCAGCCUCCAUUAGUCCGGCCUUCAGAAAGCACAAUACAAAGGAAACAGCGUCUUUACUACCUUAAAUUAAGGGCGGCACAUUUGGUGAGGCUCCACUCCCUCACUCACUUGUUUUGAAAAUGUCGAAACGUCUCUAAGGAAUCCAAACUUUUUGUCUGCUUGUGGUUUGUUUGAUAUGCAGUGCCCUCUUUCAUCCCCAGUGAUCCCUCUCUCUCCCUCCCCCUACUCCACCUUCAUACUCCACCUCAAUCCCACAUGAAGCCUGGAAGCUCUUACGGGGAAAAUAUCACCACCACCACCGAGGGCAUAGCAUCAUCCCCGAGACUGAUCCCACAUGGUGUCUCCAGAGAUGAAGGGUGAAGCUAGGCUGCUGUCUGGCCCCUCCAGGUGAUGUGUGGACAUUUCCAUUUCAGAGGUGAGUUUAGCUUGUCAGACUCAAGAGUGUCUGCUCCCCUGGCUUCAAGAAAACUUGCGGCCAUGCCUUUUCCAUUUCUUCAGUCGCGUUCAAGAGCAACAAAAUCCAGAAGUUUGAGAAGCUUUAAAAGUAUAUUUCAUCUGAUCGCGUGCCUGCUGAAUUCAUGCUCCAAUUUACCUUUGGGCUCUUGCCUAGUCCUGCUAGUUCAGAUCUUCUUUUUUGUGUCCAUAAACUAUAUUUAGAUUUUUUUUUUCACUUUCCCCUAACUUGUUUAGUUUCCAGGAUGGAAGAAAUUUCAUCCCAGGCUCUAAUUAAAACUCCAGCUCGAUCUGUCAUUUGUUUCCAA